UGAGCGGCAGUGACGUCACCGUACUCGAUCGUACCACAGGUUCUUCAUCAAUCAGCCAGUUAUUGCUUCCUAAAAUCUGCUUUUUGAAAAACUCCUAAAGGCACUUUUAAGAGCCACGUCAGUCUGUUUGUAUCUGUUCUUACUGCUGUCCUUAUUGGUCUGUCUCUCUGUUUCUGCCUCUCUCUGUUGGUCUCUGUCUUGUGUGAUUAUUCUGUUUGUGUGUGUGCGUGUUUUUUUGUUUGUUUGUUUGUUUUUUGUUCUGCUUUCUGCCAUGAGUGACUCCGAAAUUCCAAAUCCUUUAAGGGUCCUAGAUAAUCUGACUGAUCAGCAGGAACAAAUUGAUGAGCUCCAUCACCUCGAUGACAUGCUUGGUGAGCUGAAGCAAGAGGAAGCUCCAGUACCUGUGAAGCCACCUGAACCAACAGUAAAAUGGAAAGAAAGAGACAAAGAUGGAAACCAACUCUAUGCGAGGCCAAGAUCAAUCCAGAGUCACUUACAUAAGGCUGACCACAGUCAGAAGACCAAUUCUACCACUAAUAACAGUCACUGUGAGGUGGCAUUUG